CUCCCACAAUGAUGAAUGGCCAGAUAUCCUGAGGUUUAAUCCCCAGCUCUUCUUGCCUGUUACGCUCCAGUUCUAAGUUGUGAGGAAAAUGAUAACAAUAUUGGAGAGACAGAUCCCAGAACCACCACCAAAAGAAGUACACCGUAAAAUGUAAUAAGUCACAGAAAGAGAUCCCUGGUGCCGUGUCCACUCACCUUCCAUCACUAUCGCCUCCUCCUCGUUGUCUGUGCUGCUCAGUGUCUCCG